UGAUCCUAGAGCAGAAUUGCAUAGUUCUUUGUACAAGGUUUGAUCACAAGUUCUGGCCACCAAAUCUGAGGCUUGGUGGGUAGGAUAUGCAAGAACAAGGUUGAAGAAAAAGAAGAUUGAGAAAGAAAUAGUGGUUAGCAGAAGUUUAAGAUGGUUUGUGGUCUUAGGUUUUGGUGUUAAAAAGAAAUGGAUUAUAUUGUUAUUUGUUAACCUCUCAUCCACGAGAGAAAAGCUUGACCAUCGAAUCGAACUUGCUUAAACGGUCUGUGUGGAAAACAUGAUUUUUUAAAGUUGGCAAAGGACGGCUCCAAGUGCAACCUCUAACAAUUCCCAACAUUUAGCCUAACAAUUUAACUGCAAUGCUUGUUUAAGUGCAAUCAUGACCAAAAAGAAGCAUUAUUAGCAAAUAAAAUAAGAAUAUUAAAAAAAUAUAUUAAUUUGUUUUUAUUUCUCAAGAAGCUAGAGAAACCCUAGCUAAACUAAUAAAGAGAGAAAUGAAGGGCAUAUUGCAUAGAAUGGUGAAUUUGAAUGACAAAAACAUGCACCUACCUGAGAAAGGGGAAGGUCCACUGAUACUAUUGCUCCAUGGAUUCCCAGAACUCUUCUUGGCACCAUCAGAUUCUUUAUUUAAGCUCGCCUGGACUGUUGCCCAAUCUUAGGGGCUAUAGUGAAAGUGAUGCUUCAGCUUAAAGCAUUAGCUAUAACUGUCUCCGCCUUGUAGCUCUUAUUGAUCAUCUUGGAGUAGCGCAAGUGUUCCUUGUGGCACAUGAGUGGAGUGCCGCUGUUGGAUGGUCAGUGUAGACAUGGCCACG
rnacentral:misc_RNA from 1 species